GGUGGCUCAGUGGUAGAGCACUUUUCUUGCAUGCAUGAGGCCCUGGGUUCAAUUCCUUGGCACCA
rnacentral:tRNA from 1 species